rnacentral:rRNA from 1 species
CACGUAGGGGGCAAGCGUUGUCCGGAAUUAUUGGGCGUAAAGAGCGUGUAGGCGGUCCGGUAAGUCGGCUGUGAAAGCCCAGGGCUCAACCCUGGGAUGCCGGUCGAUACUGCCGGACUAGAGUUCGGAAGAGGCGAGUGGAAUUCCCGGUGUAGCGGUGAAAUGCGCAGAUAUCGGGAGGAACACCUAUGGCGAAGGCAGCUCGCUGGGACGUUACUGACGCUGAGACGCGAAAGCGUGGGGAGCAAACAGG